GAUGAACGCUGGCGGCGUGCCUAACACAUGCAAGUCGAGCGAACAGACGAGGAGCUUGCUCCUCGGACGUUAGCGGCGGACGGGUGUGUAACACGUGGAUAACCUACCUAUAAUACUGGUAUAACUUCGGGAAACCGGAGCUAAUACCGGAGAAUCUAUUGAACCGCAUGGUUCAAUAGUGAAAUACGGUUUUGCUGUCACUUAUAGAUGGAUCCGCGCCGCAUUAGCUAGUUGGUAAGUUAACGGCUUUCCAAGGCAACGAUGCGUAGCCGACCUGAGAGGGUGAUAGGCCACACUGGAACUGAGACGCGGACCAGACGCCUUCGGGAGGCAGCAGUCGAGAAUCUUACGCAAUAGGCGAAAGCAUGACGGAGCAACGGCACGUGAGUGAUGAAGAUCUUCGGAUCGUAAAACUCUGUUAUUAGGGAAGAACAAAUGUGUAAGUAACUAUGCACGUCUUGACGGUACCUAAUCAGAAAGCCACGGCUAACUACGUG
rnacentral:rRNA from 1 species